AUGAGACGCAGGGUGAGAAUUGGAGCUGCUGCUCCAGGAUGGACGACCUGCCCUAGGCAGCCCAGCGCCCUUGAGAAAGCAAUUCGUGGAUUCGUUGACAAACCGGGUGAAAAUGUAAUCGUGCUUGCCCUGGGUACAGGCUUUGAUACACUCGGCGAGGCGUACAAUUUUUACAAUCUCUACUCUUGGGAGAAGGGU
rnacentral:rRNA from 1 species